rnacentral:rRNA from 1 species
GACGAACGCUGGCGGCGUGCUUAACACAUGCAAGUCGAACGGAAAGGCCCUGCUGUGGUUGGGUGCUCGGGUGGCGAACGGGUGAGUAACACGUGAGUAACCUGCCCUUUACUGUGGGAUAACGUCAGGAAACUCGGGUUAAUACCGGAUAGGAGCUCCUGCUGCAUGGGGGGGGAUGGAAAGGGUCGGCGGGUGGGGAUGGACUCGCGGCUUAUCAGCUUGUUGGUGGGGGAGUGACUUACCAAGUCUUUGAUGGGUGGCCGGCCUGAGAGGGUGCCCGGCCAAAUGGGGACUGGGUUCCGGCCCAGACUCCUCCGGGAGGAAGAAGUGGGGAUUAUUCACCAAUGGGCGGAGGCCGGAUGAAGAAAGGCGGGGUGCGGGUGACCGGCCUUCGGGUUGUAACCCGCUUUCGCCUGGGACGAAGCGGUAGUGACGGUAAUGGGUGAAGAAGCACCGGCUAACUACGUG